CCCCGAUGGCUACGAUGAUGCCGAGGCUGUGCCAGAGGAGUCCCUUGGCACUGGGGACACCCCCGAGGGGGUGGCACAUGCAGGUGGGAGCCGUCCCCCCCCAGGGGGCACAGGGGACCCCCCGGAGCAGCCCCCAGGGGACACAGGCUACGAUGAUGCUGACGUUGGCACCUUGGGGACAUUGCUGUGAGGAUGCUGCGGCCGCAGCACACGAGGCCACGGGGACACAAGUGCGGGUGCUGGGGCUCUGUCCCCAAGGACGGGUGGCCCCGGCCAUGGAGGUCACCUCUCCGUGCCCAGGACCACAGCACAGCAGCUCCGGUGUCCCUCUUGCAGCAGCGCUGCAGGGAUCUGGGUUUAGUUUCACCGUGAAUUCCCAUGGUUUUCCCUAUUAAAACUCCCAAGCUGGCUGGAGACUCA